rnacentral:tRNA from 1 species
CGCGGGAUGGAGCAGCCCGGUAGCUCGCAAGGCUCAUAACCUUGAGGUCACAGGUUCGAAUCCUGUUCCCGCCA